rnacentral:rRNA from 1 species
CUAGCCUACGGGACGCAGCAGUGGGGGAUAUUGCACAAUGGGGGAAACCCUGAUGCAGCAACGCCGCGUGUGGGAAGAAGGUUUUCGGAUUGUAAACCACUGUUCUUGGUGAAGAUAAUGACGGUAACCAAGGAGAAAGCUCCGGCUAACUACGUGCCAGCAGCCGCGGUAAUACGUAGGGAGCAAGCGUUAUCCGGAUUUACUGGGUGUAAAGGGCGUGUAGGCGGGCCUGCAAGUCAGAAGUGAAAUCUGGGGGCUUAACCCCCAAACUGCUUUUGAAACUGUGGGUCUUGAGUGAUGGAGAG